CGGCGGACGGGUGAGUAACGCGUGGGUAACCUGCCUCAUACAGGGGGAUAACAGUUAGAAAUGACUGCUAAUACCGCAUAAGACCACAGCACCGCAUGGUGCAGGGGUAAAAACUCCGGUGGUAUGAGAUGGACCCGCGUCUGAUUAGCUAGUUGGUGGGGUAACGGCCUACCAAGGCGACGAUCAGUAGCCGACCUGAGAGGGUGACCGGCCACAUUGGGACUGAGACACGGCCCAA
rnacentral:rRNA from 1 species